rnacentral:rRNA from 1 species
UUUUUCAUUGAAAAUAGUCAUUGCGUUCUAUGUGAUGAGGAGCCCAAUGAAUAUCUCCAACAUCUUUUUUUCAGCUAUGAUUUCAGCCAAUUUUUUUGGAUGAAUUUGAACCUUGAGUGGAACAUUGAUCUGAAUAUCAAUGACAUGAUGAUUGAAGCCAAAAACAGAACCAAACUAAUAGGGUUUAAAGAAUGCAUUAUGGCAGGAUGUUGGAGCAUAUGGAAGCACAGGAAUGUUAUCAUCUUUGACAACAAGACCAAAGACAUUGCAUACUGCAUAUCUUGCUUCAAGGAGCACAUCACCAUUAUCAUUAAGAAGGCAAAACCAAGCCUAAAAGAGGGAAUGCAAAGUUGGGUAGACACAUUGUAA